rnacentral:rRNA from 1 species
GAUGAACGCUAGCGAUAGGCCUAACACAUGCAAGUCGAGGGGCAUCACAUGAAGUAGCAAUACGGAUGGUGGCGACCGGCGCACGGGUGAGUAACGCGUAUGCAACCUACCUACAACAGGGGAAUAACUCGUUGAAAGACGGACUAAUACCCCAUAAUACAGGGAUCCCGCAUGGGAAUAUUUGUUAAAGAUUUAUCGGUUGUAGAUGGGCAUGCGUUCCAUUAGCUAGUUGGUGAAGUAACGGCUCACCAAGGCAACGAUGGAUAGGGGAACUGAGAGGUUUAUCCCCCACACUGGUACUGAGACACGGACCAGACUCCUACGGGAGGCAGCAGUGAGGAAUAUUGGUCAAUGGACGCAAGUCUGAACCAGCCACGUCGCGUGAAGGAAGAUGGCCCUACGGGUUGUAAACUUCUUUUGUAAGGGAAUAAAGUGUAGUACGUGUACUAUUUUGCAUGUACCUUACGAAUAAGGAUCGGCUAACUCCGUGCCAGCAGCCGCCGUAA